GAUGAACGCUAGCUACAGGCUUAACACAUGCAAGUCGAGGGGUAACAAGAGGAAAGCUUGCUUUCCUUGUUGACGACCGGCGCACGGGUGAGUAACGCGUAUCCAACCUGCCUAUAACUAGGGAAUAACCUUGCGAAAGUAAGACUAAUACCCUAUGAUUUCCUUUGAUGACAUCAGAUUAGGAAUAAAGAUUUAUCGGUUAUAGAUGGGGAUGCGUCUGAUUAGCUUGUUGGCGGGGUAACGGCCCACCCAGGCAACGAUCAGUAGGGGUUCGAAGGGGAAGGUCCCCCACAUUUGAACUGAGACACGGUCCAAACGCCUACGGGAGGCAGCAGUGAGGAAUAUUGGUCAAUGGGCGGAAGCCUGAACCAGCCAAGUAGCGUGCAGGAUGACGGCCCUAUGGGUUGUAAACUGCUUUUAUACAGGAAUAAAGUUAGCCACGUGUGGUUAUUUGUAGGUACUGUAUGAAUAAGGACCGGCUAAUUCCGUGCCAGCCGCCGCCGUAA
rnacentral:rRNA from 1 species